UGGGAAUUUUGGACAAUGGACGCAAGUCUGAUCCAGCCAUGCCGCGUGCGGGAAGAAGGCCUUCGGGUUGUAAACCGCUUUUGUCAGGGAAGAAACGAGUUUCUCUAAUACAGAGACUUAAUGACGGUACCUGAAGAAUAAGCACCGGCUAACUACGUGCCAGCAGCCGCGGUAAUACGUAGGGUGCAAGCGUUAAUCGGAAUUACUGGGCGUAAAGCGUGCGCAGGCGGUUAUGCAAGACAGAGGUGAAAUCCCCGGGCUCAACCUGGGAACUGCAUUUGUGACUGCAUAGCUAGAGUACGGUAGAGGGGGAUGGAAUUCCGCGUGUAGCAGUGAAAUGCGUAGAUAUGCGGAGGAACACCGAUGGCGAAGGCAAUCCCCUGGAACUGUACUGACGCUCAUGCACGAAAGCGUGGGGAGCAAACA
rnacentral:rRNA from 1 species